GUCUGCAUGGCUCAGUUGGUUAGAGCGCCGGUCUCAUACUUCAUGUAUGCGGGUCUACCCGACCUUAAUCCGGAGAUCGCCAGUUCGAUCCUGGCUGCGGACA